rnacentral:rRNA from 1 species
UACGUAGGUGGCAAGCGUUGUCCGGAUUUAUUGGGUUUAAAGGGUGCGUAGGCGGUGUCCUAAGUCAGUUGUGAAAUACGGCAGCUUAACUGUCGAGGUGCAAUUGAUACUGGGACACUUGAGUACUGAUGAGGUAUGCGGAAUGGACGGUGUAGCGGUGAAAUGCUUAGAUAUCGUCCAGAACACCGAUAGCGAAGGCAGCAUACUAAGGAGUAACUGACGCUGAGGCACGAAAGUGUGGGGAUCAAACAGG